UUCCUUUCCUUUCCUUUCCUUUCUUUUCCUUUCCUUUCCUUUCCUGUCCUUUCCUUUCCUUCGUCUCUUACCUUUCUUUAUCAGUGGUGCUGUUUGCAUGACACGUUUAACUAGGUCAUGGGGGUAUCUAAUUAUGUUGUAUGUACUCCAAAACUGAGUUAAUUGGCCUAUAACUUCCUCUGGCAACAAAUCCCCCCCCCUUUGUGCAGACUACUUACUAGAGAAUUAACUCCCCCUUUUAGCAACUGUGAUCAAAAUGUAAUCCUAGAGAAGCCCCAUAAAAAUGGGGCUUCUGUGGACAUUCCAUUUCUAUAGUCCUUUUGAUUUUUCAUUCAUUGUACUCGGGGGGGGGGGUGAGAAAAAUGAGCAGGUACAGUUGGGGUGUGUAAGUCCAUGAAUCUGCAAUGACCCCAACCUUAAUUGUAUUGUGGCAACUCUAUUUUAAAUUUACUUUCCUGGGGGUGGAAGGGACAGCAGGAAGUAAGGAAGGAAGUGAUGCCUCCUGCAAGGACUAAACACAUUGUCACUGAAUGCCUGUGUCAUCUGGGAUCAUGUGCCCUGAGUGUGCCAAUGUGAAUUAACUGGCUUAAAAAGAACUGGGUCAUUCAUGUUGCACAAAUAGGGCCUGUGUGUUAUGUAGGUAAGUAGUUCAGCCAAACAGUGUCAUACUUGGAAUCUUUCUGUUAUACUGUAAUUCCUUCUUUUUUUCUUUUUUAUAAAGACCCAGAAUUGUGGUUCCAAAAUUCUAAUUUGAUUUGUUUCUGGGCUCUUAGUUGUUUCUUUACAGACUUCCUCUGUGCUGUUUCAUAUUAGUAUGUAAAUCUGUUAUUUCCGGAAGAAACAUUUACUUCAGAUAUAUUUUCAGAGGAAACUACCAGCUGAACAUAGCUGGCUGAUAGGCCACUGGCUACAUAUCUAGAACAGCUCAGAAAAUGCAAAAGUUGUCCCAGACUGGCAUUUUUAUUCUAUACGGUUGACAGUUAAAAUGUAUCUAUUAGUAAUGUAACAAUAAAAUAAUACCAUGUUACAGAAUAAGGAUAUUGUUGGACUGCAAAUCCAAUCAUCCUUCAUCAUUGGGUGUGCUGGCUAGGGUGGAUGGGAAUUGGAGUCCAAGAAUAUCUGGAGGGUCACACUUUGCCUGUCCCUCACUUAGAAUGCUGAUCAUUACAAAUGCUAUUUCAGCAGUGGCUUCCUUCUUGUUCUUUGGUUGCAGGACAGGGUAACAGAAAGCAAGUGAUGGAAUUCACCUUGUUAGAUCCCUUUCUCAUGACAAAGUCCAUGCAUGUUUUAUUUCAUAUGGAAUGCCUGCAUUGUGUAGCAUGGUUGGGAAUUCAUUUUCAUCUUCAUGUUCCACUGCUACAUACUCACUUUGCUGCAUCAGCUUUGAAAAGUGCCAAUUUCCAACUACCUGAAUUUCUGGAUACCUCACAACAAAAGGGUCAUCCAUGCUAGUAAGAUUUGGUAGGAGCUUGGAUCAUUAUUGAAAUGGUACAGGUUACUUACACUUUAAAAUGUUCACUGGUCCUUACAUUUAUUUCAGAGUCUGGGAUUUAACCUCUUUUGCCUCUGCUCCCUUAGCAAUGUUCAUAUUGUUUUUUAUAGCAGGGAGAGAUGUUCCCACCAAUGCUCAGUCAGAAAAUCCUGCCACUAUUUCAUUUCUGUAUUGUUGAAUUUCUUUCCUUUUCUUUAGCAGGCAGAUGAAAUGGGUUGCCAUCCUUCCAUUUAUGUAUUCUGUACCCUGCUAAUCUAUCAGGAAUUGCAACUGGGCAUGGUUUGAAGUAGCAUGAUGUGAAUUGCAUUUGUGGCACAACUAGUGAGUCAUACGUCAUUAGGUCUUCUUAUAUUUUGCUAAAUGCCCGGCACCAGAAUAAUUUGGUGGCAUUUUUGUUUUGGUGGAUUUCCUUUGAUUCAAUUGUUAAGUGUACUUAUGUCAACCAUAUAGAGAUAAAAAAAACAUUUAUGAAAAAUGCAUAUCCUAAUUUGAUUGGAUCAUAUCAUUCCUUGUAUGUAGUUUAAGAACCUAUUUUGCAACCAGUCCAUCUUUCAGUGGUUUUGAGGCAGGUUUGCCUUUAGGGUAUGCAGCCUCUAUGGCUUUGCCCAGCAUAUUGUUUUGGGACUGAAUAGAUUUUCACCGUUUGCUUCCUUAAUGGAGAUGGGUGACGCUUUAAGAAUUUACUUCAAAGCGGAUUCUGUUGAACGAAAUGCACUGAUGCAAAAGAACAUCAAUUAGUAGAGAUGUGAUGUUUCUCUUCUAGAAAUUACUUGGCACAGUCAUUUUCAAAAGUGUUGAACAAGAGAUAUGUGAAAGUUCAGACUAGAUUAUAGACUGGACUUUAGCUUUGCACUUCUGAUUCCACUUGAAAGCUGUCAUAUAUAGACAGAAGCAUAGCUGCCUGGAUUUGGUUAAUAGCCAGCUACUGCUCUUGAAUCCCACUGAACUUUUUUUUUAACUCUUGACUGCAUUAGUUCUUCAGUGUGAGGGUGUUUUCAUUCAUCCCUCCCUUAACCACAUGAGCUGGAAGAGGAUAGCAGUUGCAAAACAGGAUUUCGGAAGCUAUAUGGAUUUAACAGUAUGUUUGCAUGUAAUUUGUACCAUUUACACGCUGAAUAAAUAAUUACUUGAGGUUUUUUGAGUCAAGAAGAGCCUCAGGUUCUGCUUUUUGCAUGUGACUGUCUCAAAGGAGAAAAAGUCCCUUUCCUUUCAUCCAUUAUACUUCUUCACAGAAAACUAGUUAUCCUGCCCCACACCCUUGGAAUUCUCUAGUUAUGACUGCUGGAGAGGUCAAGUUAUUGUGUAUCGUAUGGCUACCGUGAAGGAUAAAAACAGUAGAGAUCACAAUUUACUAAUAGCCAUCUGUUUGAAAUGAAGCAGCACAUAAAGACCCCUCGGUACUCCACAUCUUCCUGAAAGGAAGGCUAUUCUGAAUUUAAGCUAACCCCUUCAAGAACAGGAAGAACAGAAAAAAUACAACUGCCUGUUCAAUAUCCAGUUUGUGCAACUUACCACCUCCCUAUCUAAAAUUGCCAACUCCAGCGGAAACCAAUCCUAAAGGUUUUCCCCACCCCACAUAGAUGUGUUUAUGUGACACAUACAUUGACCAGAACCCGCCCUCCAACAAGGACAAGGCCAGGACAAAAAAUAAAUAAAAAAUUGAAUUAAUAACUAAUGAUCAAAAUUAAUUGCCUGUAAAACAAGGCACCCAUUUAUAAAACUAAAUGAUUUCUGUGUAAUACAAACCCAGCAUUCUUAUGCAAACAGGAUACAUACAUUCACGAGAGCCCAUUUCCUUUCAGCAAAACCACAAAGAAAAACAGAAUGGCAAUGGGAGGAAGGGAAGGGGAGUUACACUGGGAAGAGAAGGAAAAAGUGGUAAACCAAACUGGGUGGAGAUGGAAGAAUGAGGAGAGGAAAGGAAAGGAAGACCAUUUGCCUCCAUAAACAGACAAGUAUCUGCAAGGAGUUGGAAGAGAGGGACAAACUACCACCAUCUCUUGUGCCUCACUGAGAGUGAGGGCUCUAGAAAAAUUCCUGUGAAGUUCAGGGAUAAAGGAGGCAUUUUUUUUGAAUGCCCUUGAUGUCCUGUUUGUUAGGCUAUUAGCUCAGGUGGGAACAAUGACUCCGUUAGCUUCUGAGGGGGAAAAAAAUGGUGUCCUCGGCUAUCGGCUACUUAGUAGGAGGGGUGAGGAAAACAUAGUGUUAAAGCCAGAAAAAAAUACCAGAUUUCUGAAAAGGCAGUGCUGAGAGUCAGCAAGAGAGUGGCAUACUUGCCUCAGAGCCUUAUGUCCCCUUCAGAGGCUGUACACCCUUAGCUGUGGUUUCUUUCUCUUCCCCUCAAGCACUGGCCGAUGCCCACCUGCGAUUUACAGCAGCAUGCAGCCAGACUCAGCCAUCACUGAGGUGAUUUAAGGCCUGUCCUCAUUAUUGUUACAUUGGCAGGAUGAUGGCAGGAAGAUUCCAGGUGCUCUAAGUCAACCAAGGUUGAGGAACACUGCUCUAAGUCACUCCUGGGGAUUUCACCUAUGCCUCAGUUUUUCUCUCUGCAUUGUCUGGAAUUUGUGAAAGUGGGCAAAGAAGUAAGAGGAGUGUUGAGUCUGGAGCAAGGCAAGUGCUCUGGAUGGUCUGUAGUCUGUCACUGGAAACAUUCUUUUCUGUGCUGCAGCCCUGCAGCCAAGCCUAAGAUGGAGAAAGUCUCCGCUGUUACCAACUAUUAGCUUUCCAGUCCACACCUUUCUAGCACACCAGCAAAGUGCAAGCCAGAAUCAAGUUGAAUCACAGGCUAAAUAAGAGACAUUUCACUAACGGCAUCGAGGAGCUAACUCUGAUAGCCUUUAGGUAUUAAAGUCCUGCUGUCCCACUGAUUUCUCACUUUAUUCUGAAAUGCAUAGGAGAGGAAGCUUAAGAAAGCCUUGAAGUGCACCUCUCUUUCCUACUCCUGUAUGUACAUGUACCAGCCUAAAAGCUAUCUUCUUCAUGAGCAGCUGCUAAUAGAAGUUCUUAUAAAGAGUUCAUAAGGAAGACUUCUCUGAUUGCAAGCACUUGUGGGUCUGGCUAAAAAGAAAGGCAUUUCAGGAAGUUAAUAGAUAGCGAUAAUGCCGUUGUCCAAGGGCAUAUGUUGCUUAAAACUGCCCUUAGUAAAAAAAAAAAAAA